rnacentral:lncRNA from 1 species
GUGGCUGAGCCCCUGACCUUUGUGCCUAGUGGUCAUCAAUUCUGUUUACCUCCCCUCUGUGUCCAGACUCGGAGCUGCCCAUGAAGCCAAAGAGGAUCCGUGUGUUCUGCCUGGACAGAGCUGGGGGGGUGACCAUGGGCCCACAGGUGUCCCCCUCAGUCCCAUCGGGCAGCCAAGCUCACCCCACACAGACUGAUGGAUUGUGAGUUCGCAGUGUCCAGAACUGAGAAUCCACAAUGGGAGAUAAGUCAGCAGAGGAAACAUCGAAAACCAGUCGGGAGGAAAGUCUAACCCAAGUUCAACACAAAGUGCACAGUGGUAAACACACCCUGGGUGGGGAGAAAGGAGGAGCCCUUGGUGGAGACACCAGCCAGGGGUACAGCUGGGUCUGAGCUUGGGGAAGGCAGGGGAAUAAGGCUGCCCCAUGGACAGGAGUCAGCUCAAGCCAGGCAGGGCCAGCCAGUGGGGCUGCCCGCUUUCUCCAGAAGGGGGCCAUGCUGGGCUCCAGGGAGAGCCAGUGUUUGCACAAGGACAGGGUACCCUAAAUUGUCCCUCUCUGUGGCCCCAGGAGCAGCUUGAAUUUAUCAGCAAAACCAGAGAGGAGCCCCAGGGGAGUUGUCCCCAUUCCUCCCCAUGUACUCGGAGCUCAAGGACAUUCGCAGGCUGAGAAUCACCAGAAUGCAGGUGUCAUCCAAAAACACCAGCUGACCAAUCACCGGAUGCUGCCACAACAGGACACCAGGACAGGAGUGGGAAUGACUUUCCAUAUGCAGACUUCACACCAUUUGCUUCCUAUUCUGGGUAAACAGUCAUGCUGGGCUUGGUCAGGAAGGCAAAGGUAAUCAACAAGCACCCUGUUGCCAGGGUGUGGAACGAUACUCUGAACAGACCCACAUCUGUGACUCUGCAGGUCCCCACUAAAGAGGAUGACUUAGUUGGCCUCCCUUGUGUGGCUUCCUGUGACACAGUCCGAGCAGCAGUGCUGCAGGGCUCAGACAAAGUGGGGAGCUCCUGAGGGGCUCCAGCUGAUUUGGGGAGCCUGGGCGUUUGCUCAGGUUCAGAUGAGACAAAGAUAACUCAAAAGACAAUUUCAGACCUGAGAGGGACUCAGUGACCUUCCCUUGGCUGUCUUGCUGCAUUCUCUACAUAUCAUCCGCCAUCACCUGUGCUGGAUUGAUUCCUCCCGAGACAAGUCCUGAAAUAACAUCCAAGUGCAGGCAGCAGAUUUGGGAGUUUAUCCGAGGAGCCCUGUGUGGGGUGGGUAUAAGAAGGGCAGCAGUAAAUCUAGUUGCCCUCAUGGUCAACCAGAGAGGGACCCCACUUGGGAACACUUGAGUUUCAGUGUGCAAGCAACAGGGCAGGUAGCAGGGCGUGGGGACAUAUAGGCCAUUCCCAUGGUGGCUGGUGGAAGGCACUGGCUGCAGGUAGGGCAUUCAUUCUCUCUACAUUCCAGUCUGAAUGGUUGGGCAAAUCAGAUACUGGAGGCCAGAAAG